GAUCAUGGCUCAGGAUGAACGCUAGCUACAGGCUUAACACAUGCAAGUCGAGGGGAAACGACAUCGAAAGCUUGCUUUGUGGGCGUCGACCGGCGCACGGGUGAGUAACGCGUAUCCAACCUGCCCACCACUUGGGGAUAACCUUGCGAAAGUAAGACUAAUACCCAAUGAUAUCUCUAGAAGACAUCUGAAGGAGAUUAAAGAUUUAUCGGUGAUGGAUGGGGAUGCGUCUGAUUAGCUUGUUGCGGGGUAACGGCCCACCAAGGCAACGAUCAGUAGGGGUUCUGAGAGGAAGGUCCCCCACAUUGGAACUGAGACACGGUCCAAACUCCUACGGGAGGCAGCAGUGAGGAAUAUUGGUCAAUGGGCGAGAGCCUGAACCAGCCAAGUAGCGUGCAGGACGACGGCCCUAUGGGUUGUAAACUGCUUUUAUAAGGGAAUAAAGUGAGUCUCGUGAGACUUUUUGCAUGUACCUUAUGAAUAAGGACCGGCUAAUUCCGUG
rnacentral:rRNA from 1 species